ensembl:lncRNA
ACUAUGGAGAGAAGUUGAUAACACUAAAUAUGGAGAGAAGUUGAUAACACUAUGGAGAGAAGUUGAUAACACUAUGGAGAGAAGUUGAUAACACUAUAUAGAGAAGUUGAUAACACUAGGGAGAGAAGUUGAUAACACUAACUAUGGAGAGAAGUUGAUUACACUAUGGAGAGAAGUUGAUAACACUAACUAUGGAGAUAAGUUGAUAAGAAUAUGGAGAGAAGUUGAUAACACUAUGGAGAGAAGUUGAUAACACUAACUAUGGAGAGAAGUUGAUAACACUAACUAUGGGGGAAAAUGAUAACACUAUCUAUGGAGAGAAGUUGAUAACACUAACUAUGGAGAGAAGUUGAUAACACUAACUAUGGGGAGAAGUUGAUAACACUAACUAUGGAGAGAAGUUGAUAACACUAAAUAUGGAGAGAAGUUGAUAACACUAUGGAGAGAAGUUGAUAACACUAUGGAGAGAAGUUGAUAACACUAACUAUGGAGAGAAGUUGAUAACACUAACUAUGGAGAGAAGUUGAUAACAAUAUGGAGAGAAGUUGAUAACACUAUGGAGAGAAGUUGAUAACACUAUGGAGAGAAGUUGAUAACACUAACUAUGGGGGAAAAUGAUAACACUAUCUAUGGAGAGAAGUUGAUAACACUAACUAUGGAGAGAAGUUGAUAACACUAACUAUGGGGGGAAAUGAUAACACUAUCUAUGGAGAGAAGUUGAUAACACUAACUAUGGAGAGAAGUUGAUAACACUAACUAUGGAGAGAAGUUGAUAACACUAUGGAGAGAAGUUGAUUACACUAACUAUGGGAGAAAUGAUAACACUAACUAUGGAGAGAAGUUGAUAACAAUAACUAUGGAGAGAAGUUGAUAACAAUAACUAUGGAGAGAAGUUGAUAACACUAACUAUGGAGAGAAGUUGAUUACACUAUGGAGAGAAGUUGAUUACACUAUGGAGAGAAGUUGAUAACACUAACUAUGGAGAGAAGUUGAUAACACUAUGGAGAGAAGUUGAUAACACUAUGGAGAGAAGUUGAUAACACUAACUAUGGAGAGAAGUUGAUAACACUAUGGAGAGAAGUUGAUAACACUAUGGAGAGAAGUUGAUAACACUAAC